AAAAGUAAGUAAGGGCGCAUGGCGGAUGCCUUGGCUCUCGGAGGCGAUGAAGGACGUGAUAAGCUGCGAUAAGCUGCGGGUAGGUGCAAAUGACCUUUGAUCCGCGGAUUUCCGAAUGGGACAACCCAAUAUCUUGAAGAGAUAUUAUCCAUCUUUUGAUGGAGGCGAACGCAGGGAACUGAAACAUCUUAGUACCUGUAGGAAUAGAAAAUAAAUAAUGAUUCCCCUAGUAGUGGCGAGCGAACGGGGAAUAGCCCAAACCAUAUGUGUUACGGCAUGUAUGGGGUUGUAGGACCACGUCAUGGGACGACAGUUAGUGAGUAGAAUGAUCUGGAAAGUUCAGUCAUAGACGGUGAUAACCCGGUAUACGAAGCUAAUUUAACCCUAGUGGUAUCCUGAGUAGCGCGGGACACGAGGAAUCUUGCGUGAAUCUGCCGGGACCAUCCGGUAAGGCUAAAUACUCCCGAGAGACCGAUAGCGAACCAGUACUGUGAAGGAAAGGUGAAAAGCACUUCGAACAGAAGAGUGAAAUAGUCCCUGAAACCAUGCGCCUACAAGCGGUCGGAGCAGUGUAAACUGUGACGGCGUGCCUUUUGCAUAAUGAACCUACGAGUUACUUUUUCCGGCAAGGUUAAGGGUCUUGAGACCUGCAGCCGAAGCGAAAGCGAGUCUUAAUAGGGCGGAUAGUCGGAAGGAGUAGACGCGAAACCAAGUGAUCUACCCUUGGCCAGGUUGAAGGACAGGUAACACUGUCUGGAGGACCGAACCGAUAAGCGUUGAAAAGCUUCCGGAUGAGCUGAGGGUGGGGGUGAAAGGCUAAUCAAACUUGGAGAUAGCUCGUACUCCCCGAAAUGCAUUUAGGUGCAGCCUUGAUUUAUACUAAUAUGAGGUAGAGCGACUGAUAAGAUGCGAGGGCUUCGCCGCCUAUCAAGUCUUGACAAACUCCGAAUGCGUAUUAGUUCUAUAUCAGGAGUGAGGGCAUGGGUGCUAAGGUCCAUGUCCUAAAGGAGAACAAUCCGGACCAUCAGCUAAGGUCCCCAAAUAAUUGCUAAGUUGAUCUAACGAAGUCAGAUUGCUAAGACAGCUAGGAUGUUGGCUUGGAAGCAGCCAUUCAUUUAAAGAGUGCGUAACAGCUCACUAGUCGAGGAGUUUGGCGUGGAUAAUAAUCGGGCAUAAGCAAUUUACCGAAGCUAUGGGAUGUGCAAACAUCGGUAGGGGAGCAUUCCACUCUGCGUUGAAGGUGAAGCGUAAGCUUUGCUGGAGCGUGUGGAAAAGCAAAUGUAGGUAUAAGUAACGAUAAAGGGGGUGAGAAACCCCCUCGCCGAAAGACUAAGGUUUCCUGAUCAACGCUAAUCGGAUCAGGGUUAGUCGGGUCCUAAGGCUCAGCCGAACGGUGAGGCCGAUGGCAGAACAGGUUAAUAUUCCUGUACUACCUUAAAGAGUGACGUGGAGACGGAGGCGUGACAGUGCCGCGGACUGACGGAAUAGUCCGUUGAAGGGUGUAGAUGUUGAUCGGGGUAGGCAAAUCCGCCCCGAGAGUCGAACCUGAUAGUAUGGAGCGUUCUUCGGAACAAUCCAAUAGCGCAUGUAAACAUACUCCCAAGAAAAUCCGCUAAACUUAAUCUUUAAGGUACCCGUACCGUAAACGGACACACGUGGUCGGGUAGAAUAUACUAAGGCGCUUGAGUGAUUCACGGUUAAGGAACUAGGCAAAUUGACCCUGUAACUUCGGGAUAAAGGGUCCCCACUGCGAGGUGGGGCGCAGAGAAUCGGUCCAGGCAACUGUUUAACAAAAACACAGGGCUAUGCCAAAUUGAAAGAUGAAGUAUAUAGCCUGACACCUGCCCGGUGCUGGAAGGUUAAGAGGAGAUGUCAUCGCAAGAGAAGCAUUGAAUUGAAGCCCCAGUAAACGGCGGCCGUAACUAUAACGGUCCUAAGGUAGCGAAAUUCCUUGUCGGGUAAGUUCCGACCUGCACGAAUGGUGUAAUGAUCUGGAC
rnacentral:rRNA from 1 species